UACGAAGGGGGCUAGCGUUGCUCGGAAUCACUGGGCGUAAAGCGCACGUAGGCGGACUCUUAAGUCGGUGGUGAAAUCCUGGAGCUCAACUCCAGAACUGCCUUCGAUACUGAGAGUCUCGAGUCCGAGAGAGGUGAGUGGAACUGCGAGUGUAGAGGUGAAAUUCGUAGAUAUUCGCAAGAACACCAGUGGCGAAGGCGGCUCACUGGCCCAUUACUGACGCUGAGGCACGAAAGCGUGGGGAGCAAACAGG
rnacentral:rRNA from 1 species